rnacentral:rRNA from 1 species
UACGAGGAUACCGAGCGUUAAGUCCGGAUUUAUUGGGGGUUUAAAGGGUAGGCGUAGGUGGUUUGAUAAGUCAGCGGUGAAAGUUUGCAGCUUAACUGUAAAAAUGCCGUUGAAACUGUCGGACUUGAGUGUAAAUGAGGUAGGCGGAAUGCGUGGUGUAGCGGUGAAAUGCAUAGGUAUCACGCAGAACUCCGAUUGCGAAGGCAGCUUACUAAGCUACAACUGACACUGAAGCACGAAAGCGUGGGGAUCAAACAGGAUUAGAUACCCGCGUAGU